GGGAGCCAAGAUAAAAUGCUCCAUGACUUUAUCAAAGAAACGGCUUUGAUGGAUGUCUGGAGUACGCACCACCCUAGCGUCCGGGACUUUACGUUUUACUCCGCCCCUCAUGGGACCUUUUCCAGGAUAGACUGCUUUCUGUUAAACAACGCUAGCAUGGUCAGGGCAGUGGAGUCCAAGAUAGGAUCUAUAACAUGGUCGGACCAUGCGGAUAUCUCUUUAACUUUAGGGAACCUUUGUACAGCAUCCCCAUGGAACUGGAGAUUGAGCUCAGGCCUGCUGAAUGACAAGGCCAUCCAGGCUGAAAUAAGACAAG